rnacentral:rRNA from 1 species
CAAUAGCGUAUAUUAAAGUUGUUGCAGUUAAAAAGCUCGUAGUUGGAUUUCGGGGCAGCCUGGCUGGUCCGCCGCAAGGCGAGUACUGGUCAGCCGCCCUUCCUCUCGAAAGCCCCGACUGCUCUUCGUUGCAGUGGUCGGGUAGUUCGGGACGUUUACUUUGAAAAAAUUAGAGUGUUCAAGGCAGGCCUACGCCUGAAUACAUUAGCAUGGGAUAAUGGAAGAGGACCUCGGUCCUAUUUUGUUGGUUUCCAGGGCCGAAGUAAUGAUUAAGAGGGACAGUUGGGGGCAUUCGUAUUUAAUUGUCAGAGGUGAAAUUCUCGGAUUUAUGAAAGACGAACAACUGCGAAAGCAUUUGCCAAGGAUGUUUUCAUUAA